rnacentral:rRNA from 1 species
GACGAACGCUGGCGGCGUGCUUAACACAUGCAAGUCGAACGGAAAGGCCCUGCUUUUGUGGGGUGCUCGAGUGGCGAACGGGUGAGUAACACGUGAGUAACCUGCCCUUGACUUUGGGAUAACUUCAGGAAACUGGGGCUAAUACCGGAUAGGAGCUCCUGCUGCAUGGUGGGGGUUGGAAAGUUUCGGCGGUUGGGGAUGGACGCGCGGCUUAUCAGCUUGUUGGUGGGGUAGUGGCUUACCAAGGCUUUGACGGGUAGCCGGCCUGAGGGGGUGACCGGCCACAGUGGGACUGAGAUACGGCCCAGACUCCUACGGGAGGCAGCAGUGGAGAAUAUUGCACAAUGGGCGGAAGCCUGAUGCAGCAACGCCGCGGGCGGGAUGACGGCCUUCGGGGUGUAAACCGCUUUCGCCUGUGACGAAGCGUGAGUGACGGUAAUGGGUAAAGAAGCACCAGCUAACUACGUG